rnacentral:rRNA from 1 species
UACGGAGGGUGCAAGCGUUACCCGGAAUCACUGGGCGUAAAGGGCGUGUAGGCGGCCCGCCAAGUCUGACUUUAAAAGACCGAAGCUCAACUUCGGGCAUGGGUUGGAAACUGACGGGCUAGACGGAUGGAGAGGUCACUGGAAUUCCUGGUGUAGCGGUGGAAUGCGUAGAUACCAGGAGGAACACCAACGGGCGAAGGCAGGUGACUGGACAUUUUUGUGACGGACGUGAGGCGCGAAAAGUGUGGGG